CGGCGGGGCCGCGACCCGGAAGAGCUCCGGGAGCGUUUCCGGCCGUGCCUCCCGGAACGGCGGCGGCGGCGGCAGGGCCCGGGCGCGGGGCCUCCUCCUGCGGAGCGGAUUCCCAAUGUCCUGCCAUGGAUGAUGACAGCCAGGAUGAGCUGAUAAACAAGAACGCCGCGCUGGGCAAGGGCAAAAGGCAGAGUCUGGCACUCCUCAGUGAAACAGAAAGCAACGGUGGGAACAGCUGUGAAUCAGAAGAUGACACCGGGAGUGAGGAGGAAGAUGACUCUGAGGAAGAGGGAGGUGAGGAGGACAAAGAAGAAAGUGAAGAUGAAGAAUUAGAAGAUUGCGAAGAUGACGAUGAAGAGGAGGAGGAAGAAGCUGGGGGGGGAAUGACUGAUGCUCUGAAAUUAGA
rnacentral:lncRNA from 1 species